rnacentral:sRNA from 2 species
UCGCGUCCAGCGCCGUAGGCAGGAGCGGGGGACCCAAGGUUUGCGCCGGCAACGGCAGUUGAGCAGUCGAGCACAGGGUGGCGGCUGACAACGGUCGGAACCGGCUUGGGGUGAAGUCGCGCGCAACGAAAGCGCGACCGGGCAACUCACGCGGCCCGAACCCGACAGCUCACCUCGUAGGCGUCGGUGAGGGGAUCA